rnacentral:rRNA from 1 species
GGGUGCGAUCAUACCAGCACUAAUGCACCGGAUCCCAUCAGAACUCCGCAGUUAAGCGUGCUUGGGCGAGAGUAGUACUAGGAU